GGGUUGUGAGGUUAAGCGACUAAGCGUACACGGUGGAUGCCCUGGCAGUCAGAGGCGAUGAAGGGCGUGCUAAUCUGCGAUAAGCGCCGGUAAGGUGAUAUGAACCGUUAUAACCGGCGAUACCCGAAUGGGGAAACCCAGUGUGAUUCGUCACACUAUCAUUAACUGAAUCCAUAGGUUAAUGAGGCGAACCGGGGGAACUGAAACAUCUAAGUACCCCGAGGAAAAGAAAUCAACCGAGAUUCCCCCAGUAGCGGCGAGCGAACGGGGAGGAGCCCAGAGCCUGAAUCAGCAUGUGUGUUAGUGGAAGCGUCUGGAAAGGCGCGCGAUACAGGGUGACAGCCCCGUACACAAAAGCGCAUGUGCUGUGAGCUCGAUGAGUAGGGCGGGACACGUGGUAUCCUGUCUGAAUAUGGGGGGACCAUCCUCCAAGGCUAAAUACUCCUGACUGACCGAUAGUGAACCAGUACCGUGAGGGAAAGGCGAAAAGAACCCCGGCGAGGGGAGUGAAAAAGAACCUGAAAUCGUGUACGUACAAGCAGUGGGAGCACAGGUUUACCUGUGUGACUGCGUACCUUUUGUAUAAUGGGUCAGCGACUUAUAUUCUGUAGCAAGGUUAACCGAAUAGGGGAGCCGGAGGGAAACCGAGUCUUAAUUGGGCGUUAAGUUGCAGGGUAUAGACCCGAAACCCGGUGAUCUAGCCAUGGGCAGGUUGAAGGUUGGGUAACACUAACUGGAGGACCGAACCGACUAAUGUUGAAAAAUUAGCGGAUGACCUGUGGCUGGGGGUGAAAGGCCAAUCAAACCGGGAGAUAGCUGGUUCUCCCCGAAAGCUAUUUAGGUAGCGCCUCGUGAAUUCAUCUCCGGGGGUAGAGCACUGUUUCGGCUAGGGGGCCAUCCCGGCUUACCAACCCGAUGCAAACUGCGAAUACCGGAGAAUGUUAUCACGGGAGACACACGGCGGGUGCUAACGUCCGUCGUGAAGAGGGAAACAACCCAGACCGCCAGCUAAGGUCCCAAAGUCAUGGUUAAGUGGGAAACGAUGUGGGAAGGCCCAGACAGCCAGGAUGUUGGCUUAGAAGCAGCCAUCAUUUAAAGAAAGCGUAAUAGCUCACUGGUCGAGUCGGCCUGCGCGGAAGAUGUAACGGGGCUAAACCAUGCACCGAAGCUGCGGCAGCGACGCUUAUGCGU
rnacentral:rRNA from 1 species